rnacentral:rRNA from 1 species
AGCAGCCGCGGUAAUUCCAGCUCCAAUAGCGUAUAUUAAAGUUGUUGCAGUUAAAAAGCUCGUAGUUGAAUUUCGAGAUCAAAUUGUUGGUCGUGCCUCGGUACGUACUGGCAUUAUUGAUUUCUCCCUUCUGAAGAACCACGAUGUCAUUAAUUUGGUGUCGUGGGGAAUCAGGACUGUUACUUUGAAAAAAUUAGAGUGUUUAAAGCAGGCUCACGCUUGAAUACAUUAGCAUGGAAUAAUGAAAUAGGACGUUUGAUUCUAUUUUGUUGGUUUCUAGGAUCGACGUAAUGAUUAAUAGGGAUAGUUGGGGGCAUUAGUAUUCAAUUGUCAGAGGUGAAAUUCUUGGAUUUAUUGAAGACUAACUACUGCGAAAGCAUUUGCCAAGGAUGUUUUCAUUAAUCAAGAACGAAAGUUAGGGGAUCGAAGACGAUCAGAUACCGUCGUAGUCCUAACCAUAAACUAU